rnacentral:misc_RNA from 1 species
GAUGAAGAACGCAGCGAAAUGCGAUAAGUAAUGUGAAUUGCAGAAUUCAGUGAAUCAUCGAAUCUUUGAACGCACAUUGCGCCCGCCAGUAAUCUGGCGGGCAUGCCUGUUCGAGCGUCAUUACAACCCUCAGGCCCCCGGGCCUGGCGUUGGGGAUCGGCGGAGCCCCCCGUGGGCACACGCCGUCCCCCAAAUGCAGUGGCGGUCCCGCCGCAGCUUCCAUCGCGUAGUAGCUAACACCUCGCGACUGGAGAGCGGCGCGGCCACGCCGUAAAACACCCAACUCUUCUGAAGUUGACCUCGAAUCAGGUAGGAAUACCCGCUGAACUUAAGCAUAUCAAUAAGCGGAGGA